UACGGGGGGGGCAAGCGUUGUUCGGAAUUACUGGGCGUAAAGGGCUCGUAGGCGGCCAACUAAGUCGGAUGUGAAAUCCCCAGGCUUAACCUGGGAACUGCAUCCGAUACUGGAUGGCUUGAAUUCGGGAGAGGGAUGCAGAAUUCCAGGUGUAGCGGUGAAAUGCGCAGAUAUCAGGAAGAACACCAAUGGCGAAGGCAGCUCUCUGGGACGGUACUGACGCUGAGACGCGAAAGCGUGGGGAGCGAACAGG
rnacentral:rRNA from 1 species